rnacentral:lncRNA from 1 species
GGACCCCAUUGAUUCCCACUCUCCAAUCCCAAUGAUUUCAUGUCCCCAUUGAUUCCCACUCUCCAAUCCCAACGAUUUCAGGACCCCACUGGGCACACCACUCCUCAACCCCCUCUCCUCUCCCUCCGGGACCCUCUGUAGGCUCUCAGGGCCCCCCCGCCCCCCACCUCCCCCCAUCUCCGAGGCGCCCCACAGCCGGAGGAGGAAUCUCUUUGGCUUUCCUCCCGUGCAAACACGUUGCGCCGCGCUCGCUCCGUUGGCAAAGCAAACACGCGGCGCCGGGGCAACCCCAGGUGCCACCCCUGCUCUCCGCCAGCUGCCGCGUCCCCGCUGCGUCCCGCCGCACCUGCCCGUUAAUAUUCAUGCCGCAAUUAGCCGCGAUGCCUCCUAACGAACCCGGAGAGAGGCGGCUCUUCCCCGAGGCGCUGUCGAACCUUCUGAUUUUGGGCUUCCAGAAAAAAAAAAAAGGGAAUUUUCUGCUUGGUGUCCUGCCCGUGACCCCCGUGCCAAUGUCACCAAUGUCACCGGUGUCACCGAUGUCACCGAUGUGAUGGGGUUUCCCGUCCCCCUGUGCACUUCUGGGCUGCUAAGUGCCAUCAUUACAGCUACGCUUUAAUUAAGGAUAAUGGCAUCUCUGCGCGACUCCGACGUUCCUCGUGGCAGCUCAAGGAGAGCGGAGGAGGGGGAGGGGACCCCCCGGGCCCGGCGUGCGUGGGGGGUUCACUGGGACGUGGCACUGGGACGUGGCAAUGGGACGUGGCAUUGGAUUCGGUGGGACAUGGCUGUGGGGUCACCAGGACAUGGCAAUGGGAUCACUGAGCCAUGGCUAUAGGUUCAGUAGGACAUGGCUAUGGGUUUACUGGGACGUGGCAACGGGACCACUGGGACAUGGCUGAGGAGUCAUUGGGACAUGGCUAUGGGUUUACUGGGACGUGGCUGUGGGGUCACCGGAUGUGGCCAUGGGGUCACCGGACAUGGCCAUGGGUUCAGAAGGACAUGGCUAUGGGAUUACUAGGACGUGGCAAUGGGAUCACUGGGACAUGGCAAUGGGAUCACUGGAACAUGGCAAUGGGGUCACUGGGACAUGGCAAUGGGAUCACUAGGACAUGGCUAUGGGAUCACUGGGACGUGGCCAUGGGUUCAGUAGGAGACGGUUUUGAGUUCACUAGGAUUUGGCUAUGGGAUCACUAGGAUAUAGCUAUGGGAUCAGUAGGACACGGCAAUGGGGUCACUGGGAUUACAGCUAU